UUUGAAGAUGACUUCGGAGACUGUAAAUUCAGGAGUGUUAACUGUGGAGUGACAGGACCCUGGGGACAGGCUCAGAAUUGCUGAUCCCAGGCAGGACUUGUGCCUCAAGCUCCUCACAAAGGGGCUUCCUUAAGCUUGUCACUGAGUUGUCCCAGCAACCUGGAAAAACAGCUCCCCUCUUUGAGGUGGUAGACCAGUUUUCUGAUAUUCCCCAACCCCCAGACUAGCAAGUUCAUCUCCCCAAAAGGGAAGCUUUUUUUCUAAGAUGGUGAGAAAACACCAAUGCCAGAUAUCAUCUGGUUUCCAUUGAGGGGCUCCAAAACUCUGUCAUGGGCUAAUUGUUUCUAUUCAUACACAUGAAGAUAACCAUGAAUGAAGAUCUGUCACCAGCUCCUGGUUUUUGGUAUCACUGUAUUGACCUAGGCAUAUGGGUUAUUUUGGAGAAGCUAGUCCUUUGUUUUCUAGGCUCUUCUAUGGCACAUACUCAUGAUUCCUGCAGGGGCCUUUGGUGGCUUCUUGAGUAUCUCAGACCCUUAGGAGACAAUAGGGUUCCUUUACCUCAUUCCUUCCGUCUGGAAGUUGUGGGGCUGUUUCUGUCACCCAGCUCCUUCACUUUAACCUCUGUGGAUGUGGCUCCUGCUCAGGGUUUAAAGGGUGCAGCUCAUAUGCCAUCACCUGGAAGUAUCUAGAUACUGGUGAGAUAGGAACUCAAAUUGCUGGCUGCUCCGUUCUCUUUACCAAUAUUUAUUUCCACUUUGCAGAUGAAAACAAUUUAUUAUGAAAGCAUGCUGAUAGCCCGAAAUAACCUGAAGUGGGCACAGUCUUGUGAAAUACUUGGCAAGGGAAUAAAUACAUAUUCAGCCACUGAAACCAAAAGGUUUAUUGCCUAGGAGGGGCUCCAUGGAAACUCCUUUGCAAGGAUAUGUCUAAAGCAGUUAUUUUCCUGACUUUGGUCUUUAGUAUAUCACUCAAGAAGACAAGAUUCUGGAGAACCACAUGGAAAGGGGCUCAAUGACUAGGUGAACUUGGAAAAAGUGGCCUUGGAUGUCUCUCACAAAUUUACAACACACCCUAGAAAAAUCUACAGCACAGAAACCUAUUUACAUUUGUUUAACUCAGAAUUUCCUAUUUCCCCAUGAAAAUUUCCCUGCACAGAAUACCUGUUAAUAUGUCACAUAAUCAGUGUUCUGCAGCCCACAUUUUGUGAAUCCCCACAUCUUGAGAAGCUUUCUCCAGGCUUCUUGGAGAGGUAGGCUUCCUUAUCAGACUUUCUAAGUUGCACAUGUUUAUCAUUUGUGAGACAAGUGUCAGAGACCAUCUCAGUUAACACAGCAACUUUGAGGUAGCUAUUAAGCCUUCAAUCAGUAGUUAAUUACAUAAUUGAUAUUAGUUAUCUACUAUGGCAUGACCCCAGGGCAAGUUUGUUAUUACCUUUAUUUUAUAGGUGUAGAUGGGGAAACUGAGUCCCAGGAAAGGUAAAUAAUCUAUCCGAAGUCACAUGAUCUUCAGGUAAUAGAGCCAGAAAGAAAAUCCAGUUUCUCCGAUUCCCAGUCUUUGGUUGUUUCCAGUUUUUUCAGACUGCAGAGGAGUUACUACUGCCAUUCUUGCACCAACAUCACUCUAGAAGUUCAGAACAGGGUUGCUAAAGAGGUCUUUUUUAUGAACUUGAUUGAGACCUUGUCCUUCCUCAUCUCCCAGCCUGUGCUUUCCCUGUGUCCAGCUCUGAGUUAGAGGAGGGAGGUUGGAGAGUUACUUUUUUAAAGAUGUUUUUAUUUAUUUUUGAGAGAGCACAAGCAAGGAAGGAGCAGAGAGAGGGGGGGACAGAGGAACUGACGUGGGCUCUGCGCUGACAGCAGCGAGCCUGAUGUGGGGCUUGAACUCACAAACUGAACCACAAGAUCAUGACCUGAGCUGAAGUCGGACACUCAACUGACUGAGCUACCCAGAUGCCCUGCAAAUCACUCAAGUAGAGAGACCCACUCAGACCUGGGGAGAAGGAGUCAUGUCCACAUGACGCUCAGAACCCCAGUGACUUUUGCAUUUGCAUAUCCCAAAGACAGGAAGCAAGAUGGCUUAACUCAAGACCUUUGAAUCUCCCCCUCCUUGGCUGCUAUGUAGGAGAUUCUCUCCCAGACACGAAGCUUCAAGAUGAUCAUUCUAAUGGAUUCCGAGGCACAGUGUGUGGAGUGGGAAGCCUUUGGACUCUGGGUUUCCUGUGUUGUGGUCUAAAACCUGUUCAGUCAAGUCGAAUUGUACUGGUAUUCUGCAGUUUGUGUUGGGAGCCCAUGGCCAGCUGUUUAUUAUUUUAAAAACUCUGGGUUGCUGCCUUUAUGCAUGGGGGUGGGAGGGCAGCCUACUGUGCAAGGCGGCUGCCACCUUCUUCUGGGAAUGACAAUGUUGCUCUGUAUACUCCACGGGGGCCCCUCAGGCAGAGCUACCGCAUUCCGGAGCUCUACGCAGCCAGACGAACAGAGACGAUUUCAUCUCACCAGUUAUCGAGACAAAGUCAGGGCUCUAGCAAUUGUGUUCCUCCCUGUCAUAUAAUCUUUACAUGAGGAAGACCCCACUAAGGCCUUGAGACCAGGACCCUCACAGCUUCACCAGAGUACUGGGGAAACGUGUUCACACUGGGCUUUAUGAAACACACUCUUGCCUUCCUCACCUUUCAAAAUGUGUCCCUGCUGGGUGCCCUACAUGGUAAGAAUGUCUCAGUGUCCCACUGGAACAUUUGUUAUUGCCCAAUCCAGCUCAACACCCCUUCCAGCCAUGUCCCAAGAAGCCAGCGCUGAGCACUUGAAAUAAAACAGAGCGAUGUCCUCGAGCUGUAAAUGCCUCCCAAAGACAAACGGACAGAACUUCAUUGUUUCAGGGAAGAAGGCGCCUCACAUAGCGGUCACAUUGUGGUUACCGGGGGCCCGAUGAUUAAUCCACAGAGAGGAUGUGCAGGAGAGAGGAGCUGGCAUCAUUCCUGCAGAUGAAGAUUCUUUAAAAUUUCAUGUCUCUGACUGAACAUGUGCCCCAGAAACACAAGAUUUCCAUUGUUAAGGUCUCUUUGGUGACCUCAUUUUCCCAGUCGUGAGUUGGCAUGGCAUGCAGCUCUGAAUGGGACCUUUUGUAACUGGAAAUUCCACAGUUCCAGCUGCCCCUGACUCUCGUCCAUGCCAGAUGACAUCCCCAGAGACUUUGAAGUUGCAUGUUUGAAUGAAACACAGCCCCACCCCACCUCUCACCCUAUGUGCCUGCCCACAGUAUCAGGCAGACUCUGGGAGAGCAGUGGGACCAGCUUCUGGCUACCAACAGGAAUCCAGCACAGUGUUGUGCCUAUGCAAGGAUAGAUGAAUGAGUGGAGCUCUGAGAAAUGAGGCCCCUGGUGGAAGGGCGCUUGAGGACAUCAGGCCACUUUCCUUGCAUCUAUGAAGUCAUACCAUGUUGGCUGACACCUCAUAAGCCUGGACACAAUGCAAGUAUCCCAAUCUGUUAAACUUAUUUGUCCAUUUACAAUUUCAUUCGAUGUUUACUGAGCACCAACUUUCUGUUAGGUCAUGCUGGGGAAGAUAGCAGAAUGAAAAAAUGUAGUCUCUGUCUCAACAAUCCAGGUGGGAGAAGACUUGAGUUUCAUGCAGAAAGCAAGAUAGCAAGGAAUGGACACUUAUCUCGUCCUGAAAGAUAGCUAUGAGAAGACUUCCUGAGUGGGAUGGCUUUGAGUUGCUACAAGGAUGUAGUAAGAAAUAAAAGUCCGUAAAGGCAUUAAGCAACAACCACAGCAACACUGUUUUUUUCUAUACUCACACCAACAUUUCUGACAUCAGAUGUGUGGGUUUUUCUACACCAAGCAAUUCUCUAGUUCUCGGCAGUCACCAGUUGAGUGUCCUACAAUUUAAAUUCCUAUACUAACUGGACAGACCACACAGGUUAAGAGCUUAGUCCACAAGACUGUCCCCCACUUCAUAAACCAAUUGCAAGGCCUGGGUUGUCACCUGUACUUCUAACUGACUGGCCAUAAACGGGGGUUCCCACAACUCCUCCUUGGAUUGGUACAUUUGCUAGAACAGGUCACAGAACUUGGGAAAACAGUUUACUUACUAGUGUACCAGUUUAUUAUAAAAGGAUACAACUCAGGAACAGCAAGAAGGAAGAGAAGCAAGCAUAGGGCAAGGUGGGAAGGGGUUCAUGGAGCUUCCAUGCCUUCUCUGGGUUCACUACCCUCCCAACACCUCAAUGUGUUCACUAACCAGGAACCUCUCUCUACCCUGUUGUUUGGGGUUUUUGUGGGGGAUUCGUUACAUAGGCAUGGUUGCUUAAAUCAUUGGCCACCGGUAAUUGAAAAUCUCCAGCCCCUCUCCCCUUCCUGAGGAGGUUGGGGAAGACCCUGAAAGUUAUAACCCUGUAAUCACAUGGCUGGUUCUCCUGGAAGCAUCCCUCCAUCUUUUGGAGCUUUCCACAAGUCACCCCAUUAGUAUAAACUCACGUAUGGUUGAAAGGGAUAUAUUAUGAAAAAUAAGAGAUGUUCCUUUCUCCUCUAUCACUCAGGAAACUCCAAGAGUUUGGCAGUUCUGUGCCAGGAAUUGGGAACAAAGAUCAAGUAUACACUUCUUAUUAUAUUACAGUAUCACAGCUUUCCAUGCAGAGGGGGCAGAGCAAUUAAAGCAGAGCAGGUGUGAAAAAAAAUGUGAGGUGUGGCUGUAAUAACGAAUUUCUGUGAGAGGGUGGGAAUGAGCUUGAACAAUCAGUAGCAGCCUUGCUGUGUUAAUGAGUUUGAAACUAUAUUAUUCUCUUGUGGGGGCAUGGAUAGUAAUUAUACUUUACACACAUAGAAUGAUUCUGUGAGCAGUAAGCACUCUGCUUUAUGUGAAUGAUCUCAUUAAAUAUUUGCUACCACUCUGA